rnacentral:tRNA from 4 species
GCGGGUGUAGUUCAAUGGUAGAACAUUAGCUUCCCAAGCUAAAUACGUGGGUUCGAUUCCCAUCAUCCGCUCCA